rnacentral:rRNA from 1 species
UGGGGAAUAUUGGACAAUGGACCAAAAGUCUGAUCCAGCAAUUCUGUGUGCACGAUGAAGUUUUUCGGAAUGUAAAGUGCUUUCAGUUGGGAAGAAGAAAGUGACGGUACCAACAGAAGAAGUGACGGCUAAAUACGUGCCAGCAGCCGCGGUAAUACGUAUGUCACAAGCGUUAUCCGGAUUUAUUGGGCGUAAAGCGCGUCUAGGCGGUUAAUUAAGUCUGAUGUGAAAAUGCGGAGCUCAACUCCGUAUUGCGUUGGAAACUGGUUAACUAGAGUACUGGAGAGGUAAGCGGAACUACAAGUGUAGAGGUGAAAUUCGUAGAUAUUUGUAGGAAUGCCGAUGGGGAAGCCAGCUUACUGGACAGAUACUGACGCUAAAGCGCGAAAGCGUGGGUAGCAAACAGGAUUAGAUACCCUGGUAGUCCAUGCUGUAAACGAUGAUUACUAGGUGUUGGGGGUCGAACCUCAGCGCCCAAGCUAACGCGAUAAGUAAUCCGCCUGGGGAGUACGUACGCAAGUAUG